rnacentral:rRNA from 1 species
AGCCAUGGUGGAGCUAUGACAAGUGAGAAUGUCGGUAUGAGUAGCGUAAAGGCAUGUGAAAACCAUGCCCACCGUAAACCUAAGGUUUCCUAUGCAACGUCAAUCGGCAUAGGGUUAGUCAGGCCUAAGCCAAACCCUAAUGGGGUAGGCGAUGGAUAGUAGGUUAAUAUUCCUACACCGCUUAACCUUUGCUUUAAGGCAAAGGGGGGACACAGGAAGGUAGGCUGAGCAUGCCUAAUGGACAUGGUGUGUUCCCAACUCGAGGUGCGUCAGGGCAGGCAAAUCCACUCUGACAUUAAGCUGAGGGGAGGGAGAAUUUGAGGGGCAACCCGAGAAAACUCAGCUGAUCUUACGCUGGCAAGAAAAGCCUCGUUGCUAAAAGGUUAAGCGCCUGUACCGCAAACCGCCACUGGUAGGUGGGGAUAAGAGUCCCAAGGUGUUCGAGAGAACCCUCGUUAAGGAAUUCGGCAAUUUAACCCCGUAACUUCGGGAUAAGGGGGCCCGCCUGAAUAAGGCGGGGACACAAAAUUGGCCCAGGCGACUGUUUAACAAAAACACAGGUCUCUGCUAAAGCGAAAAAGCUGAAAUAUAGAGGCUGAUACCUGCCCGGUGCCAGAAGGUUAAGGGGAGAGGUUAGGGCGUAAGCUCAAAGCUUUGAACCGAAGCCCUGGUGAACGGCGGCCGUAACUAUAACGGUCCUAAGGUAGCGAAAUCCCUUGUCGGGUAAGUUCCGACCCGCACGAAAGGUGUAACGAUCUGGGCGCUGUCUCAACGAGGGACUCGGCGAAAUUGCAAUGGGGGCGAAGAUGCCUCCUUCCCGCGACAGGACAAAAAGACCCUGGCAGCUUUACUAUAGCUUGGCACUGAGCUUAGGCUGAGCAUGUGUAGGAUAGGUGGGAGGCUGAGAAGCUGGGGCGUCAGCUCCGGUGGAGCCAACGGUGAAAUACCACUCUUGUUCAGUUUUGGUUCUAACCCGCCUUAAGGCGGGGACAGUGUCUGGUAGGUAGUUUGACUGGGGCGGUUGCCUCCUAAAAGGUAACGGAGGCGUCCAAAGGUUCCCUCAGCACGGAUGGAAACCGUGUGUGGAGUGCAUUGGCAUAAGGGAGCUUAACUGUGAGACCCACAAGUCGAGCAGAGACGAAAGUCGGGCAAAGUGAUCCUACGGUACUGUGUGGAAAGGCCGUAGCUUAACGGAUAAAAGCUACGCCAGGGAUAACAGGCUUAUCUUGCCCAAGAGUUCAUAUCGACGGCAAGGUUUGGCACCUCGAUGUCGGCUCGUCGCAUCCUGGGGCUGGAGAAGGUCCCAAGGGUUGGGCUGUUCGCCCAUUAAAGCGGCACGCGAGCUGGGUUCAGACCGUCGUGAGACAGGUCGGUCUCUAUCCGUCGUGGGCGCCGGAGAUUUGAGGGGAGCUCUCCUUAGUACGAGAGGACCAGGAGGGACAGACCUCUGGUGUGCCAGUUGUUCCGCCAGGAGCAGUGCUGGGUAGCUACGUCUGGAAGGGAUAAGCGCUGAAAGCAUCUAAGUGCGAAGCCCACCCCAAGAUUAGAUCUCCCACUGGGUUAACCAGGUAAGGCCGCAAGUAGACUACUUGCUUGAUAGGCGGCAUGUGUAAGUGGAGUAAUCCUCUUAGCUAAGCCGUACUAAUGGCCGAGGCCUUGAUCU